UUGGUGGAGCAUGUGGUUUAAUUCGAAGCAACGCGAAGAACCUUACCAAAUCUUGACAUCCUUUGAAAACUCUAGAGAUAGAGCCUUCCCCUUCGGGGGACAAAGUGACAGGUGGUGCAUGGUUGUCGUCAGCUCGUGUCGUGAGAUGUUGGGUUAAGUCCCGCAACGAGCGCAACCCUUAAGCUUAGUUGCCAUCAUUAAGUUGGGCACUCUAGGUUGACUGCCGGUGACAAACCGGAGGAAGGUGGGGAUGACGUCAAAUCAUCAUGCCCCUUAUGAUUUGGGCUACACACGUGCUACAAUGGA
rnacentral:rRNA from 1 species